GACGAACGCUGGCGGCGUGCUUAACACAUGCAAGUCGAGCGGAAAGGCCACUUCGGUGGUACUCGAGCGGCUAACGGGCGAGUAACACGCGAGUAAUUUGCCCCUCGCUUUGUGAUAGCUACCGUAAACGGUGUGUAAUACCUGACAUGACACAUUCUCGCCUGCGUUUGGGUGGAAAGUUUUGCGGCUGGGGAUGUGCUCGCGGCCUAUCAGCUUGAUGGUGGGGUAAUGGCUCACCAUGGCUUCGACGGGUAGCCGGCCUGAGAGGGUGACCGGUCACACUGGGACUGAGACACGGCCCAGACUCCUACGGGAGGCAGCAGUGGGGAAUAUUGGACAAUGGGCGGAAGCCUGAUCCAGCAACGCCGCGUGCGGGAUGACGGCCUUCGGGUUGUAAACCUCUUUCAGUACCGACGAAGCGCAAGUGACGGUAGGUACAGAAGAAGCACCGGCCAACUACGUG
rnacentral:rRNA from 1 species